AUGGGUGAUAGUAAUACAAGAUACUUCCAAUUGGUCGCCAAUGGGCGGCAUAGGAAGAAAUGUAUUUACAGUCUCCAACAAGAUGAGGGGCGGAUCGAAGGUCAGGAGGAGCUCAAAAAGUAUAUCACCAACUACUACAAAUCUCUAUUCGGGGCGACCGCCGAAGGGAACUUCACCCUUGAUGAGACCCGAACAAAUGAUAUCCCACAAGUCACGACUGAAGAAAACGAUAUCCUUACAUCACCAUUCUCUGAAGAGGAGGUGAGAGCUACGGUGUUCCAAAUGGAACAUAACAAAGCUCCAGGUCCAGAUGGUUUUCCCGCAGAAUUCUAUCAGAAUUUCUAG
rnacentral:rRNA from 1 species